rnacentral:rRNA from 1 species
GUCCAGACUCCUACGGGAGGCAGCAGUGAGGAAUAUUGGUCAAUGGACGAGAGUCUGAACCAGCCAAGUAGCGUGAAGGAUGACUGCCCUAUGGGUUGUAAACUUCUUUUAUAUGGGAAUAAAAUGUUCCACGUGUGGGAUUUUGUAUGUACCAUAUGAAUAAGGAUCGGCUAACUCCGUGCCAGCAGCCGCGGUAAUACGGAGGAUCCGAGCGUUAUCCGGAUUUAUUGGGUUUAAAGGGAGCGUAGAUGGGUUGUUAAGUCAGUUGUGAAAGUUUGCGGCUCAACCGUAAAAUUGCAACUGAUACUGGCAGCCUUGAGUACAGUUGAGGUAGGCGGAAUUCGUGGUGUAGCGGUGAAAUGCUUAGAUAUCACGCAGAACUCCGAUUGCGAAGGCAGCAUACCGGCGCGCAACUGACGCUCAUGCACGAAAGCGUGGGUAUCGAACAGGAUUAGAUACCCGCGUA